rnacentral:tRNA from 1 species
GGGGAUGUGGUCCAAUCGGUAAGAUCAUCAGCGCCCACAGCUGAUGGAUGCGAGUUCGAGUCUUGCCUUCUCCA